GUCUUUGACAGCACUGAUACUGGGGGCUGUGUCUGCUGGAAGUACACGUUGCUGGGCAGGAGUGCUGUGUCCGACUGUGUGGAACGCUUCCGGUAAGACACAUGUUUACCUGGCAGGCAGGCUGCUGGAGGAGCCGUAGCCGACCUGGAGGAGAGGCCUCUGAAGAGAUGGAGAUGAGAGAAGAGACCAUCUCUCCUUGGAGUAAAAAUUCUCCAUGACGACUGCUGGCCACGGAAACAUAAGCACUACAAGCUCAUCAGACCAGAGGUCUUCACUGAGCAGUUUCCCUCGGACCCUAAAGGAGUACAACACACAUGUUGCCUUGUUUGACCCACUUAACCCAAUGCAUAUGAUAUCCAUUAAGAAGAAUAUACUGUGAAAAAUAGCUGUGGC